rnacentral:lncRNA from 1 species
AUGGCCGCCGACCGAGCUUCACCGCUGGCCCACCGACGUGACUGUCACAUUGUGACAGGUGCUCAUUUCUCUACCAUGCCAGAUUAUCUGGAUUGUGCUACUAGUGUAGAGGUGGGGAACAUAAAUGCAUUUAGUGUAGGGAUAGGACUAGGAGGAAUCGGAGAACUUGGGAGCAGAAUGCCCACUGAGGCAUGGUUGGAGUUGUCCCAGCCAACUACAUGUGAGUCUCUACUGUCUGUCUCUACUGGCCGUACUCAAGCUCCAUACAUGGUCCAACUAGCUGGGCUGGCACGGUGGAGUGCAUUUGUUCCCUUCACCGCCGUAAUCUCCAUGAUCUGUGUGGCCAUGCAUGGAGAAAUUGUCCAGCAAUAACACUAAAGAA